CUUGACGACCAUAGAACAUUGGAACCACCUGAUCCCAUCCCGAACUCAGCAGUGAAACGAUGUAUCGCCGAUGGUAGUGU
rnacentral:rRNA from 1 species